CACGUAGGGGGCAAGCGUUGUCCGGAUUCAUUGGGCGUAAAGAGCUCGUAGGCGGUUCGAUAAGUCGGGUGUGAAACCUCCGAGGCUCAACCUGGAGACGCCACCCGAUACUGUCGUGACUAGAGUCCAGUAGGGAGCGUGGAAUUCCUGGUGUAGCGGUGAAAUGCGCAGAUAUCAGGAGGAACACCAGCGGCGAAGGCGGCGCCUCGUGGGCUGGAACUGACGCUGAGGAGCGAAAGCGUGGGGAGCGAACAGG
rnacentral:rRNA from 1 species